rnacentral:rRNA from 1 species
UACGUAGGGACCAAGCGUUGUUCGGAUUUACUGGGCGUAAAGGGCGCGUAGGCGGCGCGGUAAGUCACUUGUGAAAUCUCUGAGCUUAACUCAGAACGGCCAAGUGAUACUGCAGUGCUAGAGUGUGGAAGGGGCAAUCGGAAUUCUUGGUGUAGCGGUGAAAUGCGUAGAUAUCAAGAGGAACACCUGAGGUGAAGACGGGUUGCUGGGCCGGUACUGACGCUGAGGAGCGAAAGCGUGGGAAGCAAACAGG